CCUACGGGCGGCAGCAGUGGGGAAUAUUGGACAAUGGGGGCAACCCUGAUCCAGCCAUGCCGCGUGUGUGAAGAAGGCCCUCGGGUUGUAAAGCACUUUCAGUGAGGAAGAACGCCUGGUGGUUAAUACCCAUCAGGAAAGACAUCACUCACAGAAGAAGCACCGGCUAACUCCGUGCCAGCAGCCGCGGUAAUACGGAGGGUGCGAGCGUUAAUCGGAAUUACUGGGCGUAAAGCGCGCGUAGGUGGCUUGAUAAGCCGGUUGUGAAAGCCCCGGGCUCAACCUGGGAACGGCAUCCGGAACUGUCAAGCUAGAGGGCAGGAGAGGAAGGUAGAAUUCCCGGUGUAGCGGUGAAAUGCGUAGAGAUCGGGAGGAAUACCAGUGGCGAAGGCGGCCUUCUGGACUGACACUGACACUGAGGUGCGAAAGCGUGGGUAGCAAACAGGAUUAGAUACCCGUGUAGUC
rnacentral:rRNA from 1 species